rnacentral:ncRNA from 1 species
ACCGUCCUUUUCUUGGGGUUGCACUACUGUCCAAAGAGCAUGUGGUGAGGGCAGUACUGCUAACGUCCACACGACACAGCCACAUCAUGCUUUAGCUUGGUGUAACUUUUGGAAAA